UCCGAAAAAAACAACUGCCGAUCUUAAGGCACAACGUUUCCAUCCGAAUGCUGUAAAAAAAGAAAGAAAAGAAAAAUAAAUAAAUAAAUAAAUAAAACACAAAAAAAACUGUACAUAUAAUAUAUCAUUAUUACACCUCUUACUUACAUCUCUCUAUUUGAAAUUUAUCCUCAAGAUGUUGAAAAAGUGCCGAAUGUCCUAAUGCACUGGAUAAACAUAAUUGAAGAGCAGCUAAUAAAAUAGCACCAUUUAUUGCAAAUCCUUUUGGUACAUUUUGAAGAAUAUUUGCUGUUACAUUCCCUUCAUAUUUCCACAUGGCCAAACCCGUUGUUACUCCAAAAAGUAAUAUACUGAC